rnacentral:rRNA from 1 species
GAUACCCUGGAAGUCCACGCCGUAAACGAUGAGUGAUAAGUGUUAGAGGGUUUCCGCCCUUUAGUGCUGCAGCUAACGCAUUAAGCACUCCGCCUGGGGAGUACGGCCGCAAGGCUGAAACUCAAAGGAAUUGACGGGGGCCCGCACAAGCGGUGGAGCAUGUGGUUUAAUUCGAAGCAACGCGAAGAACCUUACCAGGUCUUGACAUCCUCUGACAACCCUAGAGAUAGGGCGUUCCCCUUCGGGGGACAGAGUGACAGGUGGUGC